GCCCAGCCCUGGAAGCCCAAGUGUUCUGACUUGGUGACAGGCCUGAGCACAGACUGCUCACCAUGGGGUUCACAAAGAGCUGUGUUUUCCUUCUUGCUGUUUUUCAAGGUGUCCACGCAGAGGUGCAGCUGGUGGAGUCCGGGGGAGGCUUGGUGAAGCCUGGGGGCUCCCUGAGACUCUCCUGUGCAGCGUCUGGAUUCACCUUUAGUGAUUACUACAUGCACUGGAUCCGCCAGUCUCCAGGGAAGGGGCUGGAGUGGCUCUCAUACAUCAGUGGUGAUAGUAGUGAUAUAAACUACGCAGAUUCCGUGAAGGACCGAUUCACCAUCUCCAGAGACAACGGCAAGAACACGUUGUAUCUGCAAAUGGACAGCCUGAGAACCGAGGACACGGCCCUGUAUUACUGCUCUGCAGACACAGUGAAAUAA